UUGGAAGGAGGGUGAUUUACUGUAG
rnacentral:misc_RNA from 1 species